CCUACAUGAAGCUGGAGUUACUAGUAAUCGCAGAUCAGAAUGCUGCGGUAAAUGCGUUCCCGGGUCUUGUACACACCGCCCGUCACACCACGGAAGUUGGGGGCGCCCGAAGCCACUUAGCUAACCCUUUUGGGAAGCGAGUGUCGAAGGUGAAAUCAAUAACUGGGGUGAAGUCGUAACAAGGUACC
rnacentral:rRNA from 1 species